GUAAUGUCUGGGAAACUGCCUGAUGGAGGGGGAGUAACUACUGGAAACGGUAGCUAAUACCGCAUAACGUCGCAAGACCAAAGAGGGGGACCUUCGGCCUCUUGCCAUCGGAUGUGCCCAGAUGGGAUUAGCUAGUAGGUAGGGUAACGGCUCACCUAGGCGACGAUCCCUAGCUGGUCUGAGAGGAUGACCAGCCACACUGGAACUGAGACACGGUCCAGACUCCUACGGGAGGCAGCAUG
rnacentral:rRNA from 1 species